CUGGAUGUAGCCCUACGUGAUGUUGGGGUCUGUCCUGCUUUCCUGCUGCGUGUUGGUGGACGUUCCCAUCUUGUUCCCAGCCAUGACAUUCACACUGCCACUACUGAUAGUCCUGGUCUGGCUUCAAAGCCCCAGUAGGUCCACCCUCUGUGAAAGGCACACAGGGAAAGAUCUCUCUGCUUUCUGAGCUCUCUCUAUCCAGAUGUGUGGAGACUGUACAACCUCCUGGGACUAUCCUUCUAGGUACAUUCAUAUAUAUAUUUAAAUAGAAACAUCACUUUUAUUGACAAGUUAGGGCCACAGAUAAGACAGUCCCAAGACAAAUACACACACACACACACACACACACACACACACACACACACACGGAUGUAUAUCUAUCUGCAGGGUUUGUCUUUGGAGAAAUGAACCUGAAGUUACAGUUCAGUCCAAAGACUACUGCAGAUUUUCCGCUUGCUCAGGGGAGGUCAGUCUUUUGUUCUAUUUAGGCCUUCAACUGAUUGGAUGAGGCCCACCCUCAAUACAGAAAGCAAUCUGCUUUAUUCAAAGUCCACUCAUUUAAAUAUUAAUCUUAUCCAAAAACACCCUCACAGAAAGAUCCAGAGUAGUCUUUGGUGACAUAUCUGGCACUGUGGCUCAGCCAGAUGACAUAAAAAUAACCAUCACAGUGGCCCUUAACUCUAGAAGCCAAUGGCGAUGUUAAAAAGCAUUGACUUCCUGAUGACAAGACUUGGGCCAUGGUGUCCCUAAGGAGGGCCUUACUUGGUGGUCCCGUCUCUGGUGUUCUGCCACACCUAUGCCUCAGACUAGGAGGACCCAGCUCUCUCUAGCCUCCCAGAUCAAAGCCUUUGCUAAAUCGCUCCCUGCUGCUUCUUCAGCCUAAAAUGGGAGAGAGAGAUUGCCCCCAGGUUCUGCUCUUUCUCUGAGGUUGCCAAUUCAAAGGCAUAGGAUUAAAAAUAGCCCUCUUUCCAGAGUCAGCCUGGAUGAAUUCCUCGGGGGGCUGUCCCGUGAAAGCACAUCUGUCAGGGGCUUAUGAGCCUGUCCAGUCCUGCCUUCCACUUGCUAGCAGGUGAAGAGAAGUGACCUGCUGUAGCAAAUCGCUCGUGUCCUUUGGGUAUUUUAUGUGACUUCUGGAAGCCAUCUGCAUCAGCUCCAGCUUCUAUCCUCCUCCGAAGAGGAUGGAUAGUUGUAGACUGGCUGUGUCUGAGAACUCCAUAUGCUUGUUCACCUUCUACAGACAAAUGCGCACUCCACACUGGAUCCUUUCUAAUGGCAGGGGUCCUUUCACCUUGGAAACUCCAAGAGUUUUUUUCCUUUGGCAGAGACAGUGUGGUCAGGACUUGCACGAGAAUGAAGGGAGUGUCAAUCCAGGUUGGAAUCCCUGACCUGCACUUGCUUGCCUCCGGUCGGGUCUGUGCUCAUCUCUGUUGCUUUAUUUUGCAUCCCAGCAGCAAAUGUGCCGGUUAUAGCCAGCAUUUAUUCACUUUUUGACAUUUCCAGGAUGCCUGCUAAGCUCCUGCCCUAUGUGGGGUGCUAGGAACAUAGGGACAAAUCAGCCACAGGCAGUGCUUUCAAGGGGGCUCCCAGUCCAGUGGGACCCUUGGAGCGGAGAGUGGCAGAGCUCUCUCCCACCUCCUUGGACCCCACUUUACCAUCGCUGCUGUCAACAUCAUGUUUUUAAUAGCUUGUGUCUGUUGCUCUUCUUGAAGGACUCUACUAGGGUGACUGGAGCCACUUUGCAAGGAUGUGCCUUGGGGUUUACAUUAAUUUCCCUCUCCCACCCUGGCUGCCACUAAUCAAUGCCUGUUGGGCAUGAAGUGUGGGAGCCCAGCCCCUUGUCUGGUGGUGGGACACUUCUGAGGUGCAGAUGACCCUCGUGAAUUCCCGAGGGGUCAGCCCGAAGCCACCCUCUGCUUCACUUCCGUCUGAGAUCUCCUCCUGGCUCAGCUUCCUCCGCUUCCUGUCCUGUCCUCCCUUCUCCCCACACCGAUCUUCCCCCAGGAAUUGCCUUCAUAAAUCCCUGCUAUGUGAUUCCUCUUCUGAAGGUCUGCUUUGGGGGGAGUGUAUCCUAAGUCACAGCAACCUAGUCAGAAAAAUACAGAACCAUAUGAUUAAGCUUCAGGGGUGCUGGGAACACAGGUCAGGGACUGUGGGUGAGUGAAUGUGUGAGUGUGACACACACAGAAAAGCGUGUCUGGGGAGUUUUGGCGCCACAGGGAUGCUCGUGUAGAGUCGCCGUGUCUAUUCUGUUUCUGGCUGCCUGGCAUCUGAGCCCUUUACCUGAGUGAGUCUGGCUGCAAUGCAGGCUGUGUGGCCCACCACGGAAGUUGAAAAGCCCAAUUUUCCCAUUCUCUGCCCCUCCUUAUAAGAAGGGCAAAGUCCCCCAGACUUGCCCAUUUGGACAGAUCGGUCGGAACUUGGCAUUGCAGCUUCUGAGUCACAUUUCUUAUUGGACUGGUGAUGGUGGCAGUGUGGGGGCAGUCAGCCCGCGGCAGGUGGUGAUGGUGAGGCCCACACCUAUGGCUUCUGGUGCUUGGCAGUGGAGGGGUCGGCCCUGAACUGUUUUGCACUGCGGUCUCGGCCGCGGUUCUGACUGUGAUUUUCCAUCAUUCCCGACCACCUGCCUAGGCUUCUCAGUGAUGCUGGGAGCUCCUCUGGCAGGCUGCUUUAGUGCUGAAGUCACCUGGAGGCAGAUUCUGUUGUAGCCAAGAGGCCUGACUGGCCUUGGGUCAAAAGUCUGGGGAGGAUGGAGGGAAAGGGCAAGGGGAGGGGGCAUGUGAAAAGCCACGGAGGUGGAAGGGGCACCAGGAGCUACGGAAGUUUGACAUUUAUUGGACACAGAGUCAGGGAUGAGCUGGAGAGCCCAGAGCAAAAGGAUCUCAGGGGUUCUGCGAUGGAGAUGGGCCUGUUUCUGUUGCUUUUUCUUCCAGAUGUAACCCAGAUGGGGAGAUGGGCCUUCGAUGCUCAGUGACUGAAACUCUUUGGCCAUAUGAUAAAUUGUAGUAUAUUUUAUUUUCAAAUGAAUGUUUCUGUAACAUCUCCUGCCUCUAACUUCCUGGAACCUGGGACCCAGAACUAACCACGAAGAAAGGGUCCUGGUUUUUCUGGAAUUCCAACCCCUCUGACACAAGAGGAGCCAAGGCAGUGGGGAUGGUCCUUUUCAAAGCAGUUCCCAUUCUCUGUCUAACUUAUGCGUUCUGUUUAUCAACUUCUUACAGGUAAGAAAACUGAGGCUCAUGUGACUUAAAGGUUGUUUGAGGUGACCCAAUGACAGAACAUUGAUGCUGGUCACGUUUCAGUGUCUGCCUGGAGCACAGGUGAAAUACGGCUCACUUCCAGUGUGGCGAUGAGGCAUCAAUCUUAUUUCUUCUGUGUCUUUCCAGUUUGGAUGUGAGAGAAGAUGUACAUUCAUCAGGGACGCCUAAGACCCCUGUUAAGAAUUCAGCUCUAACUGAACAAAAGCCUCGGGGUUCACAGUUAUAGGUGGAUCACGCCUUGGCAAUGAGGGGGCUAAUAAAUGACUCUGACGUCCAUAA